rnacentral:tRNA from 1 species
GGGCCCGUAGCUCAGCUAGAUCGAAGAUUACCCACUUCUGUCCUGAAGAGGUUAGAGCGACAGGCUCAUAACCUGUUGGUCGGGAGUUCAAGUCUCCCCGGGCCCA